GUGCCAGCAGCCGCGGUAAGACGGAGGGGGCAAGCGUUGUCCGGACUCACUGGGCGUAAAGGGUGCGCAGGCGGUCCUGUGCGUCGGCGCUGAAAGCGCCCGGCUUAACCGGGCGAGGCGCGGCGAUACGACAGGACUGGAGGCUCGGAGAGGGUGGUGGAACUCCUGGUGUAGUGGUGAAAUGCGUAGAGAUCAGGAAGAACACCCGUGGCGCAAGCGACCACCUGGCCGAGACCUGACGCUGAGGCACGAGAGCGUGGGGAGCGAACCGGAUUAGAUACCCGUGUAGUCC
rnacentral:rRNA from 1 species